UCAAAUUUCUUUUUCUUUAGAAAUUUUAAGUUUCUGACAUACUCUUUGUAUGAAUUUCAAAAUUCUCGUCAGUGGAACAUUGACAGUAUGUAAUUUCAGCAUAUUUUCUUCUCUUUAUUGCCUCAGUACAUUCGUUAUCCCACCAAGGAGGAGAAGGAAUAAAACCCAAAGAGCUAUUUUUACUUGGAAAUAUCUCAUUGGCAACCUCAAUAAAGAUUCUUGCUAAAGAAUCUGCACACUGAGAUUCUGUACCUGGAUUAAUUUUUGGAAGUGUUGGAAAUGAUAAUAAUAGUGGGAAGUGAUCACUACCAAAAGUAGAUCGUAAUGGAUCCCAGGACAAAGAAGAAGCAAGAUUAGGUGUAGUGACUGUUAAAUCUGGAGCACUUGAGCCCUCGUCAGGAUGAGAACGUCGUGUAGGACGACCAUCAUUUAAUAUACACAAAUUCACCGAAUCAAAUAUAUCUAUUAAUGUGUUACCAUAACUAUUAGAAGAUAAGUAACCCCAGGAUUCAUGGCGACAGUUAAAAUCACCAAGGAUCAUAAAAGGCUUCGGAAGAAUGGAAAUAAUAUCUUUAAUUUCAUUUAAGAUUGCAGAAGAAGGAUGAGGUAUAUAAAUAGAUACAUAACAGAUAUUUUCAACUAAAGCAGCAAUAAUAGAAAAAUCAUUACUGUGAGAAGGAAUAGAGAAGAGAGAAAAGGAAAGAGGGUGUUUCACAAGCAUGGCUACUCCGCCAUGCCCAUCCACACGAUCUUCUCUGAGACAUGAAUAACCACGAAUCUUAAAUAAAGAUCCUGGUUUCAACCAUGUCUCUUGAAGAGAACAGAUAUAAGGUUUAUAUUUAUUUAAUAAAUAAAUAAGAUCACAUUUUUUUUAGGAGUGAUGCUUUGACAAUUCCAUUGAAGAACUUUGUCCAUUAUUUGGUUUAUAAAUUUGAGUAAUUGCAGAAACUAAUAAGGCAGCGUUGGAUGGUGAAAAUUCAUUCGAUUGACUAAGAGAUUUUAUAAGAGAAAUAAUUAAAUCAAUUACUGAGGA